UACAGAGGUCUCGAGCGUUAGGCGGAAUCACUGGGCUUAAAGCGUGUGUAGGCGGAUCGUUAAGUACCUUGUGAAAUCCCACGGCUUAACCGUGGAACUGCUUGGUAUACUGGGCGGUCUUGAGCCAGCUAGGGGCUACCGGAACAAAUGGUGGAGCGGUGAAAUGCGUAGAUAUCAUUUGGAACGCCAAUGGGUGAAAACAGGGUAGCUGGGGCUGUGCUGACGGCUG
rnacentral:rRNA from 1 species